AUCACUUCUCGGCUUUUUGGCUAAGAUCAAGUGUAGUAUCUGUUCUUAUCAGUUUAAUAUCUGAUAUGUCCUCUACCCGAGGACAAUAUAUUAAAUGGAUUUUUGGAGCAGGGAGAUGGAAUAGGAGCCUGCUCCAUCCAUUCCAUGCAUUGACCUGGUAUUGCAGUACUUCCAGGAAUGGUGCACCCCCU
rnacentral:snRNA from 1 species